rnacentral:rRNA from 1 species
CCUACGGGAGGCAGCAGUGAGGAAUAUUGGUCAAUGGGCGGAAGCCUGAACCAGCCAAGUAGCGUGCAGGAUGACGGCCCUACGGGUUGUAAACUGCUUUUAUACGGGAAUAACGCGCCUUACGUGUAGCGUUUUGCGUGUACCGUAUGAAUAAGCAUCGGCUAACUCCGUGCCAGCAGCCGCGGUAAUACGGAAGCUCCGGGCUUUAUCCGGAUUUCUUGGGUUUAAAGGGUGCGUAGGCCGCAUGUCAAGUCUGCUGUGAAAUUUCUGGGCUCAACCCGGGCCUUGCAGUGCGAACUGGCUUGCUUGAGUCCGCGGAAAGCAGGCGGAAUGCGUGGUGUAGCGGUGAAAUGCUUAGAUAUGACGAAGAACCCCGAUUGCGAAGGCAGCUUGCUGCAGCGGAACUGACGCUGAUGCUCGAAAGCGCGGGUAUCGAACAGGAUUAGAUACCCGAGUAGUC